UUGCACCCAGAAGCUAGCCUUACUCAA
rnacentral:piRNA from 1 species